rnacentral:rRNA from 1 species
UGGGGAAUUUUGGACAAUGGGCGAAAGCCUGAUCCAGCAAUGCCGCGUGUGUGAAGAAGGCCUUCGGGUUGUAAAGCACUUUUGUCCGGAAAGAAAUGGCUCUGGUUAAUACCUGGGGUCGAUGAGGUACCGGAAGAAUAAGGACCGGCUAACUACGUGCCAGCAGCCGCGGUAAUACGUAGGGUCCAAGCGUUAAUCGGAAUUACUGGGCGUAAAGCGUGCGCAGGCGGUUGUGCAAGACCGAUGUGAAAUCCCCGAGCUUAACUUGGGAAUUGCAUUGGUGACUGCACGGCUAGAGUGUGUCAGAGGGGGGUAGAAUUCCACGUGUAGCAGUGAAAUGCGUAGAGAUGUGGAGGAAUACCGAUGGCGAAGGCAGCCCCCUGGGAUAACACUGACGCUCAUGCACGAAAGCGUGGGGAGCAAACAGGAUUAGAUACCCUGGUAGUCCACG